UAGGGAAUCUUCGGCAAUGGGGGGAACCCUGACCGAGCAACGCCGCGUGAGUGAAGAAGGUUUUCGGAUCGUAAAGCUCUGUUGUUAAGGAAGAACGUGUGUGAGAGUGGAAAGUUCACACAGUGACGGUACUUAACCAGAAAGGGACGGCUAAUUCCGUGCCAGCAGCCGCGGUAAUACGGAAGGUCCGGGCGUUAUCCGGAUUUAUUGGGUUUAAAGGGAGCGUAGGCCGUGGAUUAAGCGUGUUGUGAAAUGCAGGUGCUCAACGUCUGCACUGCAGCGCGAACUGGUUCACUUGAGUGUGCGCAACGCAGGCGGAAUUCGUCGUGUAGCGGUGAAAUGCUUAGAUAUGACGAAGAACUCCGAUUGCGAAGGCAGCCUGCGGGAGCACAACUGACGCUGAAGCUCGAAAGUGCGGGUAUCGAACAGGAUUAGAUACCCUGGUAGUCCGCACGGUAAACGAUGGAUGCCCGUUGUCAGGCUGUUUCAGCCUGGUGACCAAGCGAAAGCAUUAAGCAUCCCACCUGGGGAGUACGCCGGCAACGGUG
rnacentral:rRNA from 1 species